ACAAAGAGGAGUCUGGACUUCUCAAAAACACUCAGAGGCUUUCCUUUAAUCAGCAUUUUUGAAAGCUCUAAAUGCAAUUGGCAGUCUCUAAAUUUUUAAAGGAGACUAACCAGAACAAUUAACCACGUCUCUGAAAGCUUGAAAGACUCUCAGACCCUAAAACAGAGAGCCCUGUAUCUCCCUGCUCCCCCACUUGCAUUCCACCUCCAUUUUUCCCAUCUCACCACCACUGUUUGCCUGGAACAUUGCAGGGACCCUGAGGGUACCAGCAAAAGCCCUUUGAGCCCCUCCAGCUCCUCCAAGAUCGAAGACAACUGGGUGCCUUUCUCCUGAGUCUCAGACUUCCCACACAAUUCCGGUCCUGAGUUCCGUUCAGCUAGAUAUUCUCACUCCUCGAUGAAGUGGGAGAGCCAUAAUGCAAGCUAUUCCUAGUGGAAAAGUUGAGAAGGAAGAACAGCUUGUUCCAGACCAGUGAAAUUGAAAUUCCCAUGUGGAACAACAUAAGAGGAAAGAGGCCCUCCCUGACAAAGCUGGACAGCCCUCUCUCAUGGCAAUUUGGCAAUAACUAUCAACAUGUUCAGUGUGUAUAACCUUUGCCCAAGCAAUACCACUGCUGGGAAUCUACAGAAAUUCUACCAGAAGACCACAAAGAUACAUAAGCCCUGAGCACUGAAGCACUGUCUGAUGUGAAACCUGAAAAUAUCCUUUGUGUUUACCCAUAAGGAAACAUUGAUGUGUUUAUGCUGUGAACAGGGCUGUUAGAGCAAGGCCGAUCUGAGGGCUAAAUAUUGAAGUAUAUCAUUAUGAUGACAUGUGAGAAGAGUAAGUCACAGAAUAGGAUUAGCUUACUGCUUAUAUUUAACUGAUAUGAAAUUGCCAAGCAAAGACAAUUAUGCACUCCACAGAAAACACAAGAGUAAUGUAAAUAACAUUUGGAAUUCUGCACACCCUUCUACCAUCCUCAGUCCCAAAGGGAGACGCAGGCAUCAUCAAUCUCCCGGGUCUCCCAGCACUGAGAGCUGCUCUGGGGUCUGAGUGUGGCUUC